ensembl:lncRNA
CGCAGGCCAUGGCCAUUUCCAACAUGCAGCGGAACCUGAGUGCUGUCCUGGCGGCCUUGGCUGAGGAGACUGAGCUCAAAAAAUGCCCAACAGCCAAGGGGCUGUACAGCUUCCUGGCCACCUACCGCUUUGUGGCAUCGGUGUACCUGCAUGCAAAUGUGCCGCCACAUCUCAGCAAGCAUUCAAAGGUGUUCCAGAAGGAAAAUGUGAACUUCCUGAUUCUGAAAGUUCAGGUCCCUGUGACAAUGGCUUGCCUCAGAGCAAUUAAGGAUGCUGGAGACCAUCAGCCACAUGGGUCUUUCCUGUCAAGGCUCCACCCAGACCUGGACAACCCUGCGGGACUCGGGGCUUAUAGUAUUGUCCAUGAGGAGGAGAGGAACAAGAGGGGUUAACGUCAAGAGGGACUGACCAGGGACGAGCUCUGGGCCAGGUUCAGGAGGCAGAUGUCCCAGAAAGAUCAAACCAAGCAAGAGCUAGACAGUACCACCAUGGCUGUCUUCGUCUUCAGAGAGAACUCAAGUCUUCUACAACAGCCCAAAGAGAUCGGGAUCAUCAUUGAUGGUGUAGAAGUCCUCACUGAGUUGCCUUCCAUGGCAGCUGGAGUGGUAAUGCUCUUUAGACUCUAUUAUGCUCCUAACAUGGAAUAUCUCCAGGGGUUCAGGUUCACCCUUGAGGCUCUUCAGAAGAUCCUGAUGGAGCUUGGUUCCAACAAGAUGAGCUCCAAGAUUCGCAAACUGAAUGGUGAACUCCACACUACACAGUAGUAUGUGUGCCAUGUGUACACAUGCUUGUGUGUUUUGCGGCAUGCACAGUAUGUGCACCUGUGCUUGUGUAUCUGUGUAUUAAGCUGCUAGCCAGCACUUUACGAGGGGGAGAACCUCAGCGGCACUUAGUUGCACCUAGCCACGGGUGCUGUAGCCAUUUAAGACUAUGUUAUAUUGUUGGGCUUUGAGUGAAUGUUUUGAAUUUAGUCGUUUGAGGGUCAACACUGCUUCCAGAAAGCAAUUUUUAAUUGAGAUUUGAUAGAGCCUGUGUAGAGGUCUACUACCAUAUGUGUGUUUGUCCUGUUCAUUUGCUUGGUAGGCAAUCUAUUUUUUACUUGACUUUCAUUUCUUAAAGAUCAUUACAGUUUAUAGCUGUGCUGAAAACAUUGCAGCAGAUUCAGAUGCCUUCUUGAUAAAGACUGCCCUUUUAAGGGUAGUCUUUAUCAAGACAUCUGGACAGGGAGAUUCCAGUCGCCAGAGGGUGAUAAAGCAGUAUACCAGUAUGUUGGUUUUUAGAAAACAUAGCAUCCUGCCCUCAUGGUCCUGUCCUGCUCCCUCUAUCCUCUUCUCUCCCGCCUCUCAUCCUCUCCAUCCUUUCCUCUGUUCCCCUCUCCAUCCUUCUCCUCCCCUCUUCAGCCUUUCCCCUCCAUUCUCCCCCCCUCUCCUCCAUCCUCUCCUCCCCUCUCCAGCCUUUCUCCUAUUCUCUCCACCAUCUCCUCCCCUCUCAUCUGCUCCUUUCUCCUCCUUUCCAUUCUCCUCCUCACCUCCUCUCUCCUCCUCUCAUGUUAAAUAUGUUACGGUU